UACGUAGGGUGCGAGCGUUAAUCGGAAUUACUGGGCGUAAAGCGUGCGCAGGCGGUGAUGUAAGACAGAUGUGAAAUCCCCGGGCUCAACCUGGGAACUGCAUUUGUGACUGCAUCGCUGGAGUGCGGCAGAGGGGGAUGGAAUUCCGCGUGUAGCAGUGAAAUGCGUAGAUAUGCGGAGGAACACCGAUGGCGAAGGCAAUCCCCUGGGCCUGCAC
rnacentral:rRNA from 1 species